CGCACAUUGCGCCCUUUGGUAUUCCUUAGGGCAUGCCUGUUCGAGCGUCAUAUCAACCCUCAAGCACCGCUUGGUGUUGGGCGCUUGUCCCCGCCCCCGGCAGGGACUCGCCCCGAAUCCAUUGGCAGCCACCGCACCGGGCCAACGAGCGCAGCAGAAUUCGCGCCUCGGGCAAGGAGCGUGGGCGACCCACUGAGCAACCCAUCAUUUUGACCUCGGAUCAGGUAGGGAUACCCGCUGAACUUAA
rnacentral:misc_RNA from 1 species